UCCGAUGACGAUCGAGUACUUGGUCUUCGUCUCGUUUGCCUUGACGAAUCGAGUCUCAUAGCUCGAAGGGAGGCCGAUAAGCGCGUACGUGCCGAGCUUCUUGUACUCGGCGGGGCUCGAAGGGACUAGCGUUUUUGUCUCCGGGUUCACCAGUUGGUGGUCAAUAGAGAUCCCAAGUUCACCAAUUUUGUCGAGUUUCGAACGCACAAGGUUAUUUACGGGCGAUAUGCUGGAUUGCUUUUCUCGCUCUGUGUUGACAUAACAGAUAACGAGCUUGCAUACUUGGAGUGCAUUCACUUAUUUGUAGAGAUUUUGGAUCACUUCUUCAGCAAUGUCUGUGAACUAGACUUGGUAUUUAAUUUUCAUAAGUCUGUCACCAUGGUGGCCAUAAUCUAGCAGUGGAUGAAGGAUUCAAGAAUGCCUUCACACCAGGAGGAGGAAGAGGUGCGGCGGGAGAACAAGUGGGUAUUUAAAUAUGUCUUUAUGUCUCCUCUUGAACCAAUAAAGAUGAUUUGUGUUUAUUUUUCUGUGUCAGUCUUUUAGUUGUCGAAAUAUCCAAUUCCCUUUCAAUGUUACUAAAAUUC